CCCCCACCCCCACCAGUCUCCCCAUUCUGUCCCUUAGAGUCCUCCCCCAUUUCCAAUCCCCUCUUAUCCAACCCCCAGAAUCCCCUCCUCCCAUCAACUGCCCGCACUCCAAAUCCCCCAUUCUGAUCCCUAGAGUCUCCUCCCACCCCCCAUUCCCCUCUAUCUGACCCCCAGGGUCCCUUCUCCCCCCACCUCCUGGCCCCUUUUUCUGACCCCUAGAGUCCCCUGUACCCCCCUGUGUUCUCCUCACUGACCCCCUUUUUCCCCCCACACAAUUCCCUGUCCACUCCCUGACCCCCCUUUCUGCCCCUUUUCCCCCUUUCAACCCCCCAAGUUCCCCUCCACAAUGUACCCCUCCAUCCCCAGGCCCCCUUUUCACUCACAGAAGCCUUGUUCUCCUCUCUUCCCCCUCACAACCCCCUCUCUCCAUCCUCAGACCCCCUUUCCAUGCCAUAGAAGCCCCCCACAAUUCCUCAGUCUCCCCAUUCCAACCUUUCUCCACCUCCAGACCCUCUUUCCACCUAACAGAAGCCCCACUCACGCCUUUUCCCCCCACAGAUUCCCCAUGAGCCCCCUGUCCACCCCUGGAGUCAUACAGAAGGGUCUGGAGAUGUCCCAGAGGGAUCUUGGGGGUGUCCAGGGGGUCCCCAGGAUGGUCCCGGGAGUCCCUUGAAGGAUCUGGAAGCUCCCAGGAUGGGCCCAGGAGCUCCGAGGAGCCACUGGGAUGAUCUGGAGUUGUCCCAAUAGAGUCUGGUAGGGUCCAGAGAGUCCUCAUGUGGGUCUGAGUGGUCCUGGAGUCAUCCAGGCAUCACAGACAUCUCUGGGGACAUCCCAGAGAGGACUUGGACGGUCCAGGGGGUCCUCAUGUUGAUCCAGAUUGUCCUUGGAUUCAUCCAGAAGGGUCUGCAGGUGUCCCGGAAUGAUCCUGUGGGAUCUGGGGGGGUCCUCAGGUGGGUUCAGAGAGUCUUGUUGUGUUCUGGAAGGGUCUGGAGAUGUCCCAGAGGUGUCUUGGGGUCCACAGGGGUUCCUGGAGUCCUCCAGAGAUCUCCAAUGAGGAUUUUGAGGACAACCUCACACAGCAACGCGUUCUCACUCUGCUUUGUCCCCCUGGGAUCGCUCUCAAAAAUGUCUGUUUCUAUUAAAAUCAAUACUACAUCCUUUUUGGGGUUUUUUUGUUUUUUUUUGUUUUGUUUUGUUUUUUUGGGGGUUUUUUUUUGUUUUUUUUUUACCAGAAAUGGAUGGUUCUCACCAAAUCCCUGUGCAAAGCCCCACGGAAACAACUCCCCCCAGGGCCACCGGGUGUCACCGGGACAACCGCCGGCGGUGCCACCACCAGGACAACCGCCUGUCCCUGCAGUUCUCGCUGUCAUCGUGGAACCUGGGCUGUAGCAGCGAACCUUGAAGCCCCGUCAGUGUCCUACAGCCCCUGGACGCUGUCACCCUGCCUGCCCAUGACUGUCCCAUGCUGUCCCCCCUGCCAUGGUGGCGCAGGGCAGCGUGGUGCCAUCCUCAUUGAAGAGCCCUGCCUGCAGCCGGACCCGCUGAUACCGGAGCCCUCUGCCGCUGUCACCAUCGUCUGCCACGAGGAUGGGGACGCACAGUGAUGAACUCUGUGCCACCACAGCCAGCGUCAGGUGUCACCGUCAUGCGGAGGGGACAAAAGGACCCCCUGGGGACCUGCCGACAACUUCACCAUACCUGGGCUUUCAAACGAGUCCUCCUGUAUCGCUUCUCUUACGCCCAGCUCACGAAUGUAAUUCUGAAGGUCCUCCAUGGAGGGCCACAAUCCUGUGCUUAAUGAUUUGUUCAGCCAAACCACGUGGAUGCUGCCAUUCACCAGUCUGUUAUCGACUGGUUCUCACUGCUCUAUGAACAGCAGCAUACAGCCUCUGCCUGAUGGCAGGGUUACCGUCAUGGUGGCCAGCUUUGAUACCUCUGGCCCAUUCACUAUGUCACCUUCUGCCCCUGAGUCCCAUAAUCCACAAACCACGUGGGCACACUCUCUUUCUCUGCCGAAAUGCUGCCGCAUAUCCACCAGUUCUGUUGGUGCAUGGCCUCGCCGCCACGUGUGAAUGCGUUUGGGCAGGGGGCCGUUGGGCAGGGGGCACCCCACCGGUCUGCCUUGUACUUCCCUUGUCUUCUGGGUUAUAAUGGGACGGGGUUCCAAGGAAUCUGCCCCAAGUGGAGCCUCUAAAUCUGACCUAGAGUUUUUGUUUUCCUGUACAACCAGGUCCGUUCCUGCAGAGCUGUGGUUAUUAUCUGCUGAAAUGCUGCGGACCUGGCCUAUCGGGGAACGUCAAGCUGGUCUUUCCCCUGUGAAUACAACUGUUCCAGUUUCUCAGUGCAAUCAUCUAAUAGCUGAUUUUCACUUUCUAAGGUGUCAGCUCUUAUCUCAGCUUGAUUUAAAGCAUUUAACUGUGGAGGCAGCUAACUGCCUUUCUUUUGUA